rnacentral:lncRNA from 1 species
AUCUGAUAGCAUUCCACAGCAGUUAUUAGCAGUUUAUAAAACCAUAUUAGGAUGUAAAACUUAGCAGUUGGCAUGAAUAUUCAUUAUUGACAGCUGUUAUUAUAGCAGUUCUCAUGAAUAUUCAUUAUUUGAUAGCUGUUAUUAUAGCAGUUCUCAUGAAUAUUCAGAUCUCAUUUAAAUUUUUCGUUAAAAAUAACUGCCAAAGAACUGUGAAGGCUAAAUAAACUGCUAAGAAACAGCUAUGGAAUGCUAUUGGAAUGCCUUUAUGCAAAUUAAUCAUUGCCUUAUAUUUGGUAAGCGUGAAUGCUAAUGACGCUAAUAAACUGCCAAAUAACUGCUGUCAAGUGGGAACUGUGAAUGCUAAUUAACUGCUAAAGAACUGCAGUUCACUUUGACUUGGGUUGAGGCACUUGUCGCAGAAAAAAAUCCUAUAGACUUAGGGGUCGACCAUUUGAUAUUCUGGGGGAGGGGGCAGGUGGAUUUGUUUUUGAUCGGUUAUUUAUUUUUGUAAUCUAAGAGGACAAAUUAUUCAUUUUCUGCACUAGUGAAGCAAGAUUUUUCAUUAAAGCAAGGGACUGAUUAUUCAUUUUCACAACUGUUUUUAUGAUAUUCGAAAAACAUACAAUUUUCAAAUGAUUUUUUUAUUAUAAACAACAUAUUUGUGUUUCCUUUAAAUUUUUAUUUUGAUAUUUUUUUUUUUUGCAUACUGAAUGCUAUAAAUUUUUAUUUUGACAUUUUUUUUUGCAUGCCGAAUGCUAUAAAUUUUUAUUUUGACAUUUUUUUUGCAUGCUGAAUUGAUAUGCACGCAGUUGCGUGUUGGCAUAUAGGGAGCUAUGCGCCUGAAUACAAUUUAAUUAAAUAUAUUAAAUAACUUGGAAUCCUCCCCUUUUAUAAGUAGAGACAAUCCAUAACCUCAGAAAUAUUAAUCUUAAAUUUAUAUAAAUGAAAAGUAAGCUUCCAUAAAUAAAAUUCAACAAUGUUUCUUAAAAUUGGUAAAAGUGGUAUAGUCAUACCCCAACAUGUUGACCAUAGAUAGACAAACAAUUCACUUGCAUUCGAUUCGCAUUUGAACUAUGUGUUUGUUAAUGUAAACCGUUUCAAAUGUGAAUUAAACUAAUUCAAAUUAGUUAAUGUCAAUCCAAUUCAAAU